GUGGGGAAUAUUGGACAAUGGGGGGAACCCUGAUCCAGCCAUGCCGCGUGUGUGAAGAAGGCCUUAUGGUUGUAAAGCACUUUAAGCGAGGAGGAGGCUCCCGUAGCUAAUAUCUACGGAGAGUGGACGUUACUCGCAGAAUAAGCACCGGCUAACUCUGUGCCAGCAGCCGCGGUAAUACAGAGGGUGCGAGCGUUAAUCGGAUUUACUGGGCGUAAAGCGUGCGUAGGCGGCUUUUUAAGUCGGAUGUGAAAUCCCCGAGCUUAACUUGGGAAUUGCAGUCGAUACUGGGAAGCUAGAGUAUGGGAGAGGAUGGUAGAAUUCCAGGUGUAGCGGUGAAAUGCGUAGAGAUCUGGAGGAAUACCGAUGGCGAAGGCAGCCAUCUGGCCUAAUACUGACGCUGAGGUACGAAAGCAUGGGGAGCAAACAGGAUUAGAAACCCGGGUAGUCC
rnacentral:rRNA from 1 species